UUAAUGAGAGUUUGAUCCUGGCUCAGGACGAACGCUGGCGGCGUGCCUAAUACAUGCAAGUAGAACGCUGAGGUUUGGUGUUUACACUAGACUGAUGAGUUGCGAACGGGUGAGUAACGCGUAGGUAACCUGCCUCAUAGCGGGGGAUAACUAUUGGAAACGAUAGCUAAUACCGCAUAAGAGUAAUUAACACAUGUUAGUUAUUUAAAAGGAGCAAUUGCUUCACUGUGAGAUGGACCUGCGUUGUAUUAGCUAGUUGGUGAGGUAAAGGCUCACCAAGGCGACGAUACAAAGCCGACCUGAGAGGGUGAUCGGCCACACUGGGACUGAGACACGGCCCAGACUCCUACGGGAGGCAGCAGUAGGGAAUCUUCGGCAAUGGACGGAAGUCUGACCGAGCAACGCCGCGUGAGUGAAGAAGGUUUUCGGAUCGUAAAGCUCUGUUGUUAGAGAAGAACGUUGGUAGGAGUGGAAAAUCUACCAAGUGACGGUAACUAACCAGAAAGGGACGGCUAACUACGUGCCAGCAGCCGCGGUAAUACGUAGGUCCCGAGCGUUGUCCGGAUUUAUUGGGCGUAAAGCGAGCGCAGGCGGUUCUUUAAGUCUGAAGUUAAAGGCAGUGGCUUAACCAUUGUACGCUUUGGAAACUGGAGGACUUGAGUGCAGAAGGGGAGAGUGGAAUUCCAUGUGUAGCGGUGAAAUGCGUAGAUAUAUGGAGGAACACCGGUGGCGAAAGCGGCUCUCUGGUCUGUAACUGACGCUGAGGCUCGAAAGCGUGGGGAGCAAACAGGAUUAGAUACCCUGGUAGUCCACGCCGUAAACGAUGAGUGCUAGGUGUUAGGCCCUUUCCGGGGCUUAGUGCCGCAGCUAACGCAUUAAGCACUCCGCCUGGGGAGUACGACCGCAAGGUUGAAACUC
rnacentral:rRNA from 1 species